AGAGAAGAAGGGUCGAGCGUAUUGAGCUAUCUAGAAAAAGUGCGCCUUUGUGAUUGUCUUUUGAGAGAGUGUUUUAACGAGUCUUUUUGAUUCCUGUUGAUUUAAUCAAGCGGUGGCCGUAAAAAUCAUCUGAAUAAACGAAGGUACUUUGUGUACGCAGUCAUCUUUGAGUGCUCCGCCCUUAACGAUAGAUGGCGUGUCGGUUCCCACCCUGACUGACGACAGUGGCCGGCAAGGGCAUUCUGAUUUACACUUCCUCUUGACAAGGUGUUGGUACGUGAGGUGAGGUCGAAGUGACCUGGUCGUAUGCAUCAAACAUCUCCUUCACCAGUGACAUCGUAUUUUAAAUGUCUGUCCUCCAAGCCUUCAUUGCUGUUUCUGAGCGAAACAUACCGACAGGAAGCUGAGGAUGUUUUCUGAGGUGCACUUCCUCGGUAAUAUUGAAAACCGUAAGCAUGGGAUUCAGAACUUUCUUCUUCUUUUCCCAGUUCUUUUUCAUUAUUGCUUAGCGGGACGCCUUCCUUUAAGCACGUCGAAAACGUUGUUCAUAAGUUUAAUUAGUCUUUUAGUGCCUUCUGACCCUGCCAUUGAUAAAAGAUAAUUAAUAACAUGUAAUGCUCUUGUAAUAAAUUAAUUUUUUUACCUUUGAUUUCAUUCUUUUUUUCUUCUUUGGUCUCUAUAAUGCUUCAUGGCCAUAGCCACGGUUCGAGAUAACACUUGCGCGGCCUUUCCAACAUUCAUUCUUUGAAAAUUCGUAGGAUAAAUGUGAGACUCAGUCAAACGGUGUGUGAGUCUUAAUCCAUUUAACCUUUCAUGAUUGUAAAGCCUAGAA